UACAGAGGGGGCAAGCGUUAAUCGGAAUUACUGGGCGUAAAGCGUGCGCAGGCGGUUUUGUAAGACAGAGGUGAAAUCCCCGGGCUCAACCUGGGGACUGCCUUUGUGACUGCAAGGCUUGAGUGCGGCAGAGGGGGAUGGAAUUCCGCGUGUAGCAGUGAAAUGCGUAGAUAUGCGGAGGAACACCGAUGGCGAAGGCAAUCCCCUGGGCCUGCACUGACGCUCAUGCACGAAAGCGUGGGGAGCAAACAGG
rnacentral:rRNA from 1 species